rnacentral:lncRNA from 1 species
GGAGGAAGCACAAGGGGAUACUUGGUGCCAGGAAUCAUGCUAGAAGUUUUAUUUGCCUUAUCUUAUAUUGACCUUGAGUUUUUUUUAAAGAGAUAGUCUCAAAGAACUUGUGAAAUUUUCAGUUUCUUAGCAGAAAGCUAUUUGCUUUUUGCAAGGCUGAAAUAGCACUUGACUUUUUAAAUGGGGUUUUCAUUUAAUUUGUUGCUCCUGUCCUAUUGCUCUCUCCAUCUUCUGGUGUCUCCAGGCUUUGACUAAUGAAACCACUAGCCAGACUUACAGGAAGAGCCAAAAGUUACAUGGUUCCAGAUCUGAUGAAUAAGGUGGAUGAGAACACACCAAAAUUUUUUUAUGAGCCUGCCUUUCCACUGGAUGGCAUUUGGCAGCAUUCACUGCACUUUUGCCAUAGCUUGUGAAGACACUCAUGAAAGAGGAUCUCCAGAACUGCUUUAGAAAGUGGCAAGAACAAUGAGG